CAAGGAAUUUUCCGCAAUGGGCGCAAGCCUGACGGAGCAACGCCGCGUGGGGGAUGACGCUUUUCGGAGUGUAAACCCCUUUUCUCAGGGAAGAAGAAUGUGACGGUACCUGAGGAAGAAGGACCGGCUAACUACGUGCCAGCAGCCGCGGUAAUACGUAGGGUCCGAGCGUUGUCCGGAGUUACUGGGCGUAAAGCGCGCGCAGGUGGCUCGAUAAGACUGGCGUGAAAGCCCCCGGCUCAACCGGGGAGGGUCGUUGGUGACUGUCGGGCUUGAGGGCAGCAGGGGCAGGUGGAAUUCCCGGUGUAGUGGUGAAAUGCGUAGAGAUCGGGAGGAACACCCGUGGCGAAGGCGGCCUGCUGGGCUGACCCUGACACUGAGUCGCGA
rnacentral:rRNA from 1 species